AACGAACGCUGGCGGCAUGUCUAACACAUGCAAGUCGAACGAGACCUUCGGGUCUAGUGGCGCACGGGUGCGUAACGCGUGGGAACCUGCCCUUAGGUUCGGAAUAACUCCCCGAAAGGGGUGCUAAUACCGGAUAAUGUCUUCGGACCAAAGAUUUAUCGCCUUUGGAUGGGCCCGCGUUGGAUUAGCUAGUUGGUAGGGUAAAAGCCUACCAAGGCGACAAUCCAUAGCUGGUCUGAGAGGAUGAUCAGCCACACUGGGACUGAGACACGGCCCAGACUCCUACGGGAGGCAGCAGUGGGGAAUAUUGGACAAUGGGCGAAAGCCUGAUCCAGCAAUGCCGCGUGAGUGAUGAAGGCCUUAGGGUUGUAAAGCUCUUUUACCCGGGAUGAUAAUGACAGUACCGGGAGAAUAAGCUCCGGCUAACUCCGUG
rnacentral:rRNA from 1 species